GAUGAACGCUGGCGGCGUGCCUAAUACAUGCAAGUCGAGCGAACAGACGAGGAGCUUGCUCCUUUGACGUUAGCGGCGGACGGGUGAGUAACACGUGGAUAACCUACCUAUAAGACUGGGAUAACUUCGGGAAACCGGAGCUAAUACCGGAUAACAUGUUGAACCGCAUGGUUCAACAGUGAAAGACGGUCUUGCUGUCACUUAUAGAUGGAUCCGCGCUGCAUUAGCUAGUUGGUAAGGUAACGGCUUACCAAGGCAACGAUGCGUAGCCGACCUGAGAGGGUGAUCGGCCACACUGGAACUGAGACACGGUCCAGACUCCUACGGGAGGCAGCAGUAGGGAAUCUUCCGCAAUGGGCGAAAGCCUGACGGAGCAACGCCGCGUGAGUGAAGAAGGUCUUCGGAUCGUAAAACUCUGUUAUUAGGGAAGAACAAAUGUGUAAGCAACUAUGCACGUCUUGACGGUACCUAAUCAGAAAGCCACGGCUAACUACGU
rnacentral:rRNA from 1 species